rnacentral:rRNA from 1 species
CCUACGGGUGGCAGCAGUGGGGAAUAUUGCACAAUGGGGGCAACCCUGAUGCAGCGACGCCGCGUGAGUGAAGAAGUAAUUCGUUAUGUAAAGCUCUAUCAGCAGGGACGAAAAUGACGAUACCUGCGUAAGAAGCCCCGGCUAACUACGGGCCAGCAGCCGCGGUAAUACGUAGGGGGCAAGCGUUAUCCGGAUUUACUGGGUGUAAAGGGAGCGUAGACGGCAGGGCAAGUCUGGAGUGAAAUGCGGGGGCUCAACCCCCGGCCUGCUCUUGAAACUGUACGGCUUGAGUGCAGGAGAGGCAAAUGGAAUUCCUAGUGUAGCGGUGAAAUGCGUAGAUAUUAGGAGGAACACCAGUGGCGAAGGCGGUCUGCUGGACUGUAACUGACGUUGAGGCUCGAAAGCGUGGGGAGCAAACAGGAUUAGAUACCCGGGUAGUC